UGGCGGACGGGUGAGUAACGCGUGGGUAACCUGCCUCACACAGGGGGAUAACAGUUGGAAACGACCGCUAAUACCGCAUAACCCGCUGGUAUCGCAUGAUACUGACGGAAAAGAUUUAUCGGUGUGAGAUGGACCCGCGUCUGAUUAGCCAGUUGGCAGGGUAACGGCCUACCAAAGCGACGAUCAGUAGCCGGCCUGAGAGGGUGAACGGCCACAUUGGGACUGAGACACGGCCCAAACUCCUACGGGAGGCAGCAG
rnacentral:rRNA from 1 species